rnacentral:misc_RNA from 1 species
AACAAGGCGUACCUGCGGACCUGCGGAGGGAUCAUUACCGAGUUUACAACUCCCAAACCCAUGUGAACAUACCUAUCGUUGCUUCGGCGGGAUCGCCCCGGGCGCCUCGUGUGCCCCGGAUCCGGCGCCCGCCUAGGAACCUUAACUCUUGUUUUAUUUUGGAAUCUUCUGAGUAGUUUUUACAAAUAAAUAAAAACUUUCAACAAUGGAUCU